ACGGCCGCCCCCACGGCCGUCCCCGUCACAACCGCUUUGAUUCCGUGAGGAAAUAGUGCGCCGAAACCCGCAGGAAUUUGGGUUUUGGUGUCGCAACCCCCCCCCCCCCUCCCCGGCACCCUCCGCAGCGUCCUCGCGGGGCGCUCCCCCACACAACCCGUCACAAAUCCCCCCCCAGAGCCCCCCUCCCAGGGCAGCGUGCCCGAGCGGAGGGGACGGUUUCUUUGCAGACGGCUCGCGUCAGCCUCCCCCGCGCCGCCCUGGGGUGAGCCUGCUUGCUGUAGCCAUUUACUUCUGAGGAGCUUCUCCAUCGUGAGGUAAGGCUUGCACCGACAGCACAGCCACAGAUACGUUUCACUCUGUUAGACCGGAGGGUGCCUGAAAGGCAAGCUCUUCCUCACACGUCUACUUAAUUCAUAUCCUCGAACUGUCACAGCGGUAACUUAGGCAGCUUUUCCCGUAAGAUAGAGCUGCCUUAUUUAGCUCUAAAGGAGAGCAAAAUGAUUCACGAUAAACCAUUACUUAGGGAAGCGCAGUGACAUUUUAUCCCGAGGAAUCUUUUCAGAGGAUUCUAAAUAGGGUGUCAAAGAAGUUUAGUCUCUUAAAACCCACUCGCCUGCCAACAAAGCUCCCGAUUUUGACAGAGUAUCCUGUCUCCCCCAAGGCUGCUGCAGGAUUUGUAUCAAAUGCUGGCCACAACGCCUACAGUAGACAACAAAAGUAGAAAUACAUAUACUUUUCAGUUAUAGUACUACUGGGAGAGUGAUACCAAGCACUUAGAACUAUUAAAAAAAAAAAUACCAAGAAUCGCUUCCCUUUCAGAAGUUUUCCUGUGAUCUUUACUACAUGAAAAAAAUCAUAAGCAUUAGGGAAAAAAAAAAACACAACUUGUGGAGUCAUGGAAUAUCACCAGGAGACCUGUACAUCUUGCAGUAUGUUGCAUUUAUAUUUCAGGCACCUGAAAAAAAAAAAGUGGGAAAAAAUAUGAGAUCCUGUAAACUUGGGGGAGGAAAAAAAAAGCAUCAGAGAUGACUGCAUUCAAGAGUGAAGUAGAUAUUUAUUAUGUUACGUAUUCCUACCUGUAGGUAAAUGGCCAGCGCUAAAAGGGUGGCCAUACUAAUCCUGUAGAUAACAUCAUUUCUGGAUGGAACGAUCUAGAGUGGUGGAUAAGCAGCAGCAUGGCUUGUGCAGAGGGGUUGCGUAGUCUCCAUCCUUGGAUAUUUUUGGAGCCUGGCUGGAUGAGGCCUGGCACGACCUGAUCUGGCUGUGAAGCUGGCUCUGCUCUGAGCAGGGGGCUGAACUAGAUGGCCUCCAGAGGAUCCCUUACAACCUGCUUUUUUUCCUGCAAUUCGGUGAGUGUGUUGACUGUGCGAGAUGGCCCCACGGCUAUCCCCAUGACAAAAGCAGCGUGUUGAACCUCACUGAUUCAUCUAACCAGCAGGGAGAUCAGUUUCUUACAUGAUGGCAGUCUCCCAGUAUCAUUUCCUCAACACCCAGUUCAGGAAGGUCUUUAAACACAUUCUAAACUUUCAGCUCAUGUAGCUACUAAACUGGUAUCCUGUCACGGUGUUUUUCUGAAUCUACAGCUAAGGUGUUGAGCAAUAACUGUAGACAGAUGUCUUAGCCCGAGUCAUCAGUGUGCUGGCAAGUUCAUAAAAUAAAUGAAAACAAAGUUGUAGGCAGUACUUUCAAAACAUUGUGUGUUACACUGAUGUCACUCUGGCCAUAAAAGCAGGAAGUCUGCAGGUCAGUGAGUUCCUCAGAGGACGUUGCAACGUUAAAAUCCAUUCACCAGUAAAACCAGCUCCUUUGUGUGUUGUGACAGCUCAGAUUAACGAAGCAAAAUCUCAGAUCAUUUUAUGCCCUUUAUCUCAUUUUUGCACAAAUAGAUUUAGGAAAUGAAAACAAUCUAGCUACUUUCACUUCCAGUGACAGUACAGUGCUGAAACUUUAUUGCGUGGUGCUCGUUGCUGUCAAUUCUGAGUAACUGAAAUCCAAGCAAUUGAAUUCUUUCAUAUAAUAUUAACAAAUAAUGCUUACUGCGCAGGCAGAAAGCCCAACUUACACACCAGUGCAAAAGGAACAGGAUCAACACCAAUGAUACGAAAUUCUUUAGAAAGAUGUCGACUGUUUUGAGGGUUCACGUUUCUGCUUGUAGUAAGCGUGAAUAGCUGCAUCAUUCUGCUACCUUGUAAAGAAAUAAAACUGAGAAAUAGAGAUUUCCGCUACACAGCAGAAAAAGAAAGCAAAAAUGGUAAUUAAAAAUUAAUACAUUGUUUAAAAAUAAAUGUUAAUUGCAAUUAAACGUUAGUGAAAAAUAACAUCUUGACGUCACUUUUGACGUCGCUUUUUCUGACAAAUUGUAUAUGCAGCAUCAGUAAGAAGAAAAAAGAACUGAGAAAGUCAUUGUAGCGUAAUUCAUAAGGCAUGCUACAGGUGGUUUCCGUGCUAAAAACUUGCUGUUUGUCACUGUGUGGGAGGCAGUAUCUAAGGUACAGCAGAGAUCAGCUAACAUUCCCUGAAUUUCAAUGUUGUCUGCUGCUUUUGAACACUGAAGGAAAUAUUUAAAUUUUGAGCAGUCUAGGAAUGCAUCAGUAAUGUUAGACCAGAUUUCCCUAGGAAAAUGAAGCCUUAGCUUGCCACACGCUGGAAGCCCUGGGGGAAAGGAAAUCCAGAACAGCAGGCUGAAUUCUCCGGCUUGGUAAUGCCCCGGAGUGCCUGGGAGCAAGCACUGGAGAAUUUCAAUGCAUUGGACUAUUUGCAGCUCAGUAGCUUCCGUGACCCAGCUAUGUCUAUAGUUUUGAUGACUGUGAGAAUAAUCUGGAGAUAAGAGGAGGCAUGGUAGAGCAAAACCUUGCUAUCUGUAGAGAUGGUAGAGAUGGACAGGCAGAAAGACCAUAAAUUUCACUCUAACCCUCUCCACUGAGUGGAGAAUUGUCAAAGCGAGCUUGAUAUUCACAGUGGUAUCAGAAGUACAUUAUUACAAAGCAGUAAAUCUUCAGUGCAUUUAUGUCUAUAAACUACCCCACUUCCCAUGGAGAAAACAACAUUUUUGUUCCUUUGUCAUGUCCUAGUAUAUUUUUAAGAGUCCCAACCAGAGUAUUCCUCUUCUUGUGAAAGAUUAUUUCAUCACAUUACAGAUUUUGCUAUGAUAAAGUAUUUCCAGAUAUUUAAUCUAAAUUUGAUGUCCCCCAUUCAUAGUUUUGCCUGUAUUCCAUCUUUUGUAAUCCUGAUUUUACGUCCAUGAAUCAUAGCUGGUUCCUGUCCCGUUUCACGUAAUAGUGCACAAGCUGUUUACAUCUUUUCAGUUUUUCAUUGAUAGCCUAGGAAGAAUUUCAGCCUGUGGAAAAAAAAUAACGAAAAGCAGCAUUACUGAGGAGAACAAGUGUAAAAAGGGGCCGUCAUUGUGAAAGAGCUACCUCGCAUUUAAUAGAAAUGCUCGAAGGAUGAUGGCAGGGUGCUUCUUUUAGGCAAAUGGAGCAGCAUUGAUAACAGAAUUGAUUUUUGACUACGUGUAUGUCUUGGCAGGUAUGCUUAUUUGGUUUCCAUGGGAUGAAGAAGAUGAAGAAUUCUACAGGAUACGGAGAAAACAAAUGCAAAGAAAAGAACGAAUGAGCACAAGCCAGAUGGGCUUUUUUAAAAGUCAGCUGCAGAGAGCUGUAGGCUGUAGGUGGCCUCCAUAUAACUGGUAUUCGGGGAAGAGGAUGGCUUUUCCAGGGCUACAGAGGUAGUGCGUUUGUUCAGCUAGCCUCAUUCUCAGCUGUAUCAAAGAGCUCUCUAGCACCAAGUAACAAACAUCCCACACUGAUCAGGAGAUGUAUGUGCUUCCUCAUCUGAAUGCAAACAUCUGUUUGAAAACUGGAGAAAUUCCAAAUUUUCUGCCAAUAUGCUCUAAAAGAAAAUCUCUUCCUCAGCCCAAAGUAGUGAUUAGUUGAGUUGUAUUAACAUGAGGAAGAAGCCAGCUGCAAUAUGCGGUUCCUCUUUUUGCUUUGGACCAGUGGGUUCUGUUUAUUUCAUGAUGAGCAAAGUUAAAAAUGGAGUAAAGAGUGCAAUCUAAGUUUAUGUCAUGCUUUGCUUUGCAGUAACUGUUUGUUUUUACAAUUCUUCCCAUUCAACUUCCAUACCCUAUGGCAGCAUCUGAUUAAAUAUAGUUUGUCUCUCAGACUGCAGUUAAAAUCUAGAACACCAGAGGAUUUGGGAAAACCGACAAACGUGGGUUAGGUCUACUUUCCUACCAGUGAUAAAGUGUCCUUUGCUCAAUGUGAAUUCUGACAGCGCACAGUGGCAUUUAAAACACGCAGUUCCGCAGCCCACUUGGGCCUAACAAUUCGUGUCACUUAACCAUCAAUGACAAAUCAAACUUUAAAGUUCUUUAGGUGCAGAUAUCAGAGGUGUACAAGUCAUUUUCAGCUGCAGGAGUGUUACUGGUAGAAGAAAUAGUGGCAAAGGUGUCUGACUAAAUAUUUUCUUAAAAACACGUAGCCUCGCUGAUGGAAGUACCGUUGUUGGGGUUGCGGCAACUAGUGGAGCCAUCUAGAAGGUGCACAACCACAAGGCAAUUGUUAUGUGGACAAAGAGUGCGCCAUGUUAUACAAUAUGCAAACCUUGCAGAAAUGCACAUUUUAGCAAAAAGAAAAGCUUAAAAGAUGUAUUUUACAGAGCAGCUACUGCUGUUAUUUUCCCUGCAGUUUGCAACCUAGUAAAUGGGAACAGAUCUGUUUAGGGUAAGAGGGAGACAGUAUCAAAGAAGACCCACACUGACUGUAAUUUACAAGCAACAGAGUAAAAUGUGUUCCCACAGAGAAAAACAGCCCAAGUUGAUGAGAUUCUGUAGUGCAACAUUUAGGGUCCAAAAAUAAAAAAAUAAAAAGUUGGUCACUGCUCAGGGUUCAGACGCAGGUUUGUCUGCAGUCUUCAGGCUGCCCUUCAGGUGCCACCUCUACGGAGGGAUGCCAGCUCACGAAAUGUUAGCUUUAUAGCUUUAGAUAGAUCCUUCUUAGCAACCGAAACCGGGACACUGGGAUUCCAUUCCAGCCUCUCACAACAAAAACAAAGCUGUGUAGAGCUGCGCCCCAGUUUGGUUCUUUCUUGUCAUGUGUGAAAGCAGCGGGUUUGCGGACUGAGCCGUACCUACAGAUAGGACACGUGCCUGGAGUUUAAAAAUAAUGGUAAACUAAGACUUCUGGGUAGUUUAGCGGGCCCGGACCUGCCGCGGAGGAUUCAUAAGCACUCAGGAAGGCCGAGGCGAGCCGUGGAGGGAGCGGCGCGGGGCCGGGCGCCCAAAAGGCUUCGGACGCCCUGAGAGUGAGCCCCGUGCUGUUGGUGCGCGUGCGCGCUGCCUGCGCACUACCUGCGUGCCUGUGGCCGUGACGAGGGCCCGCCCCGCGCCCGCCCGCUCUGCCCGGGGGCGUCUCGGCGGCGCCGCGCGGGCCGCGGGGCGGGGGCUGGCGCCGGCGGCGCCCGGCACUCUCUGCCCGCCGUCCGGGGACUUUCCCCUAGGCGGGCGCGCGGCCCUUGAGGAACGGCGUCCUCCGUGCGUGGCCUAGAGAGCAGGUCUUCAGGGCGCCCUGCCGCACUGCUGCCGCCGCCGCGCCUUUAUACGGCGCCACGGCAGCGGCCGCCUCGCGGUUAGGGCGAGUGGCGCUCGCUGCCCGCUCGCCCCCUCACCGGCCCCGGGCGGCCGCGCACGGGCAGCGCAGCCGCCCCGCUGUGCCCCGGGGCCGCGUCACGCCCGCGGGUGGCCGCGGU